GAGGAAACGAUCCAGCAACCCAAAGUUGACUGGGAGACGACGGCCUAGACCACUCACGAACUCAUCACAGCAUCCUCCACGCGCCUCAUCCUUUGGUACCUGCUCUUGACCUGUGGGGGGUGUGAGACAGCAAGAGUGAGCUCACAUACGUUCAUCGCUCAACAAGUUGUGGGGAAUAAUGUGAAUGAACUCGCCAAAGGUGGGAGUUCAUGUGAAGUGUAAGGCUUGCCAAAGAGGAUGGUUAGAGCUGUGCAUUGCUUUUAAAGUUGGUCAAAAUUUUAUUAGCAGUUACUAAGUAUAAGUAAAUACCAACCCAAUUAAAUAGUAGAACAGAAGUAACAACAUCACCUGCGAUGCAAUGCAUAUGACAAAUUGAAUUUGAGUUCCAUAAAUUAAUCAUGUGAGGGUCCGAGCUGCUCAUGACCGUGAGCACGGCUAGUAUACCAGUUUUACACUCUGCAGAGGUGGCGCAUCUUUACCCACAAGUCAUGUUACCCAUCUGCCAAGGGAUCGCGACUUCCCAUACACCUCUACCGAGGAGGUGAGGCAGGGUAACACUACGAGGCCUUUACAAAGUUCCACUAGCUUCAGAAAACCCGCUACAGUUUAUAGGAAGCUCCAAUGCAGGAAUCCCUUGCAGGACCGCCAUCGCAGCAAAAUCCUCCCGAGGGCCUCCCUACACUGACCACUCCCCUACUGCCCUUGCCCCUUUCGGGUAAGGUAGUCUUCCACUAGCUUUCCUAAUUAAUCAGCCAAGGGCGUCCCAUUAAACCCUUGUGGUAGCACUGUUUUCCAGGGUGGUCGCUCCAUGUUCCAAUUAACAUAAUGAUCUUAUCAUGAACAGUAAUAAUAAACAGAUAAUAAAAGUGUGAUCAUGAAUAGUGUAUCUUCAUACCCAAAACCACAUAAAGCACUAGCAAGUACUACCCAAAAAGUUCAGUGGUAAACAAGGUAUAAAGAUAAUCAAACUAGGGUAACCUAUUGGGUCCCAUCAAAAUUAACCUAUGCAGAUCAUUAUGAUUAAUUAGAACAUGAGUGGGUAAAAAGAAGUGAUCAAGGGCACAACUUGCCUGGGACUUGAGUUUCCAGGUACCAACUUGCUCUUCAGAUGACACAUGUCCUCACGCUAGUCGUAGCAAUACAAACAAACAUGGUAUAGGCAAGAUUAACAUCACACCAAUCAUAAGAAUAAAUUGCGUAAUAAUAAUCUACGCGUCGCUACGAGAUCGUGGGAUCGAGAACUACUAAGAUCGGAGUCAUGGUUGAGGAGUUAUGAUUUCUCGAAGGUUUUAUGUAUUUAAUAAAAGAUUAAGUACUAGAUAAAUUUUAAUGAGACUUUCAUGUCAAAACAAAGGCACUAAUGGUUAUACAAUAAUAUUACAAAAAUUUAGAAACUGGAAUGGACCAAUUUGGAGUUCAUAUGCAUUUGCUAUGAAUUAUACAAAUUCUAUGAAUUGUUUUCACAUUAAAAACUCAUUUUCUAUAUCUUUUUCCUGAUUUCCCAAGUUCCUGGACUACGCCUCAAAUACCAGAAAGAGCAGGGUUCCCGGCGCAAGAAACCAGAGACCCAGCGCACAGUGGAGUGCGAUGGCGGGUUGAUUCUGCGAAAACUUGGGGUCUCUUUAGAAAAAUGUACCCGCGAAGGGGUAUCGCGGCAUGUGAGCCGCACGAUCUAAAUCGGACGCGCGGGAUUAGAUGGAGUUCCAUAUGAACCGGUAUUAAACUACGGCCGUCCGAUUAAAGAUCGAUGGUCAGGGUUUUAUGAAGUGAGAUCUAAUAGGGGUCGAACAGAUCGCAUCCAACGGCCCUGCCUACGUUUCCCAUCCUAACCAAUUGUGGUCGUUGAUUAUGGAUCAAACGGCCACGCCCUUCUCUUCCCCACGCUUCAGAACAGCGGCGCGACAGCUCCUCCAAUCCAAGCCAAGCGCGGCGGCGCCGGUGACGCAUACGGAGGUGACCUCACCGGCGAUAAAUGAAUUCCACCGUCUUCCUCUAUCCUCUGUCCUCUAUCCACCACGACAGUGAGGCCCCGCUCGCGGCGGCGAUCAACGCCGGCCGACCACCACUAUCCAAAUUCCGCCCCGAAAUCUCGAUCCGAUAGGUGCAAACCGUAAUAGAGGUAAAUGCGGAACUAAUUACAGUUAUCUCACCGAGUAUUGGAGGGUGGCCACUCCCGGACGCGGCGAUGGGCGGCUUCCCGUGGCGGUGGGACCUCCGGCGAGGAAUCCGUGCCGCUACGUCGUUCGAUCCCUCCCGAAUUCAAGGUGAAGCUCCCGAGCCGGUCUUGGAGCCCUCACUGUUAGCGUCUGCGCGUGUCAACACGGUCGCCUAGGGAACUUCGCACGAACAGAUAAGGGAAGGGGACGAUGUUCUACCGGCGGGUGGACUCCCAGAUCGCCUCGCGGCCAAGGGGUCUGACAACCGAGGGAGCGGGAGAUGGGAUUACCAAGGGGAAGGCGAGAAGAACUCAAGGGCUCCAGCUUUUAACCACAAGCGCGGAGGAGGUCGACCCGAUUCCCCCGGAAGCACAUCGCGAGGUCGUUGAGCUCGCGCCACGGAGUCCGCGGGCGCUUCCGCCAUGGACGGGCAAGGUGGUUGGAUUCGCGGCUGACAACUCGGGUCCACGCGCCAGCGGGUCAUCCACAGCGGCAGUACACGCGACUGGAUAAUGGUGGGUGACAGAGCGGGCCCGCCUGUAAGCCGAAAUGGGAAGAGCGAGCGCACCACCGUGAUUCCCUGAGAAGUGGGGCCGCCCCGUCAUUGAAAGGAGGGCUGGGCCGUGCGGGUAAGCUUUUUCUGGUGGGCUGAAAUGAACGUCUGCGGCCCAUGUAAGGUUUUAUCCUUUUCUCUUUUAUUUCCUAUUUUCUUUUUUUUUCAUUCAUAAUUAUUUUGAACCCAAAUUUGAAUUUUGAAUAUGAGUUUCAGCUUUGGGUUAAUUAUACAAAUUCAAAAUCUAGUCUUUGAAUAAUAUAUUUUUAAUUACUUAUUUUAUCCACACAAUACUUUAUUUUCUUUUCCCUUCUAAAUUCUAGAAUUUCUUUCAAGGUUUAAAUUCCCAUUUGGGUAUCAAUGUAAUUCUUCUCUCAUUAUUUUAUGUUGUCACAGAAUGCACACACAAAAUAAAAUCCCAGCAUGAUGCAAGUUUUAAUGGCAUAUAUCUAUUUAUUUUUAAUUAAUUAUUUGUUUCUAGAUAUGGUGUUCACAUGAAAUGAUAAACAUGAGUAUCACAUAUAGAUAUCGAGCCAUAUACUUUCUCAUUUUAAACUCUGCUUACAAAGUGGGUGUUACAAAUCCUACCCCCCUUAAAAAUAAUCUCGUCCCCGAGAUUUGUGAAAAAAAAAAGACAAAGGAUUGGCCAGCUAUUAGUUUAUAUUUGGUUCAAAAAUUUAGAGACUCAUUUUUUAGUCAAUAAUGGGUGAUUAGGAGAGCAUUUGUAUCCAGCUACUUAUUAUUUGGAAUAAGAGAUGGAUAGGUUAGGGCAAGAAUAGUCUGGGGUAAGAGUUUACAGUGAGAAAGGAUUCCUUGUUGGGUGGUAAUGCAUGUGAAGGUCGAGUUUGAAUUCUCCCCUUUCUUGACGAGGUUGAUCUUGUCCUUUUUCCAAUCCUGCUCUUUGGUGUCUCCAUCCGGGUUUGGGACAAGAGGCUAACAUAGAUUUGUUAUGUAGGUCAAGUUGUUGGGUAUGACUGAGUUGAUCUAGGUCACUAGUUUAAGUUUAAGUGGAUUUGAAGUAUGGCUUGAUCCUUUGUACCGGCAUUAAGUAACUUACUCUAGAUUAAAUCAUAAUAGAUUAGAUAGAAUCUAGAUUAGAUUGGUAUGACUAGUUUAGAUGGUUAAGAUCUAAUUAAUUUAUUUUGGAUUAAGUCAUGGUUGUUACACUAGCGUGGGAUAAAUAUGCUUAUUGGGGUAAGAUGAAUCCAUAAGGAUAAGGUAGAAUCUUUUGAGGUCAGAUAAGAUAAAUCUUUUCAAGAUAAGAUGAGAAUCUAUUUUCUUUUAGGAUAAGAUGGAUCUAUGAGUGUGGGAUAGACUUUUUCAAGAUAAGAUGGAUUUUGCUAGGCUAGAUUCCUAGUUUAUUUGGAUAUUUUUAUAACGAUUUUUUUAUAUGUAUAUGCAGAUGUGAUUGUGGACAUUACUCCACAACUAAUCACACUCAAUCAAAGAUCCAAAUCAAACAAGUAUCAUAAGAACAAACAUUCAAGCAUACAAAUACCUAUAAAAAUAGUUUUGUUUUUGUUCCUAAGAGUAGGUCUCCUAUUCCUAAAGUCACUUUAGGCACAGGAUUUCAAAGUGUGAAAUCCACAUUUGUCUUUAGAAUGAAAAGGUAAGAAUAAUCAGAGUAAAGCGGAAAUAGAUGAGAAAAGAUUAAGAAAAGUUUAGAAAAGAAUCAGAGUAGCAAAGGUAAGUAAAUAUUGGUUGUCCAGUUCUAUCUAGGUUUCGUCCUACAGUCAACAUUGCCUCUGAUACCACUUCUGUCACACCCGGGUUUUAGGGAUCCAAAGCCCGGGCGCGAACAUAAACACCAGGUGUGCUGGGACCAAGUCUCACACAUAUGAUGCAUAGUGGCACAGGAUCGAAUGUCACAUCUUUACUAUAUAACAGGAGUUCUAUACAAAAUAAUUAAAUAAUUACAUCAUAUGAGGAAACGAUCCAGCAACCCAAAGUUGACUGGGAGACGACGGCCUAGACCACUCACGAACUCAUCACAGCAUCCUCCACGCGCCUCAUCCUUUGGUACCUGCUCUUGACCUGUGGGGGGUGUGAGACAGCAAGAGUGAGCUCACAUACGUUCAUCGCUCAACAAGUUGUGGGGAAUAAUGUGAAUGAACUCGCCAAAGGUGGGAGUUCAUGUGAAGUGUAAGGCUUGCCAAAGAGGAUGGUUAGAGCUGUGCAUUGCUUUUAAAGUUGGUCAAAAUUUUAUUAGCAGUUACUAAGUAUAAGUAAAUACCAACCCAAUUAAAUAGUAGAACAGAAGUAACAACAUCACCUGCGAUGCAAUGCAUAUGACAAAUUGAAUUUGAGUUCCAUAAAUUAAUCAUGUGAGGGUCCGAGCUGCUCAUGACCGUGAGCACGGCUAGUAUACCAGUUUUACACUCUGCAGAGGUGGCGCAUCUUUACCCACAAGUCAUGUUACCCAUCUGCCAAGGGAUCGCGACUUCCCAUACACCUCUACCGAGGAGGUGAGGCAGGGUAACACUACGAGGCCUUUACAAAGUUCCACUAGCUUCAGAAAACCCGCUACAGUUUAUAGGAAGCUCCAAUGCAGGAAUCCCUUGCAGGACCGCCAUCGCAGCAAAAUCCUCCCGAGGGCCUCCCUACACUGACCACUCCCCUACUGCCCUUGCCCCUUUCGGGUAAGGUAGUCUUCCACUAGCUUUCCUAAUUAAUCAGCCAAGGGCGUCCCAUUAAACCCUUGUGGUAGCACUGUUUUCCCGGGUGGUCGCUCCAUGUUCCAAUUAACAUAAUGAUCUUAUCAUGAACAGUAAUAAUAAACAGAUAAUAAAAGUGUGAUCAUGAAUAGUGUAUCUUCAUACCCAAAACCACAUAAAGCACUAGCAAGUACUACCCAAAAAGUUCAGUGGUAAACAAGGUAUAAAGAUAAUCAAACUAGGGUAACCUAUUGGGUCCCAUCAAAAUUAACCUAUGCAGAUCAUUAUGAUUAAUUAGAACAUGAGUGGGUAAAAAGAAGUGAUCAAGGGCACAACUUGCCUGGGACUUGAGUUUCCAGGUACCAACUUGCUCUUCAGAUGACACAUGUCCUCACGCUAGUCGUAGCAAUACAAACAAACAUGGUAUAGGCAAGAUUAACAUCACACCAAUCAUAAGAAUAAAUUGCGUCAUAAUAAUCUACGCGUCGCUACGAGAUCGUGGGAUCGAGAACUACUAAGAUCGGAGUCAUGGUUGAGGAGUUAUGAUUUCUCGAAGGUUUUAUGUAUUUAAUAAAAGAUUAAGUACUAGAUAAAUUUUAAUGAGACUUUCAUGUCAAAACAAAGGCACUAAUGGUUAGACAAUAAUAUUACAAAAAUUUAGAAACUGGAAUGGACCAAUUUGGAGUUCAUAUGCAUUUGCUAUGAAUUAUACAAAUUCUAUGAAUUGUUUUCACAUUAAAAACUCAUUUUCUAUAUCUUUUUCCUGAUUUCCCAAGUUCCUGGACUACGCCUCAAAUACCAGAAAGAGCAGGGUUCCCGGCGCAAGAAACCAGAGACCCAGCGCACAGUGGAGUGCGAUGGCGGGUUGAUUCUGCGAAAACUUGGGGUCUCUUUAGAAAAAUGUACCCGCGAAGGGGUAUCGCGGCAUGUGAGCCGCACGAUCUAAAUCGGACGCGCGGGAUUAGAUGGAGUUCCAUAUGAACCGGUAUUAAACUACGGCCGUCCGAUUAAAGAUCGAUGGUCAGGGUUUUAUGAAGUGAGAUCUAAUAGGGGUCGAACAGAUCGCAUCCAACGGCCCUGCCUACGUUUCCCAUCCUAACCAAUUGUGGUCGUUGAUUAUGGAUCAAACGGCCACGCCCUUCUCUUCCCCACGCUUCAGAACAGCGGCGCGACAGCUCCUCCAAUCCAAGCCAAGCGCGGCGGCGCCGGUGACGCAUACGGAGGUGACCUCACCGGCGAUAAAUGAAUUCCACCGUCUUCCUCUAUCCUCUGUCCUCUAUCCACCACGACAGUGAGGCCCCGCUCGCGGCGGCGAUCAACGCCGGCCGACCACCACUAUCCAAAUUCCGCCCCGAAAUCUCGAUCCGAUAGGUGCAAACCGUAAUAGAGGUAAAUGCGGAACUAAUUACAGUUAUCUCACCGAGUAUUGGAGGGUGGCCACUCCCGGACGCGGCGAUGGGCGGCUUCCCGUGGCGGUGGGACCUCCGGCGAGGAAUCCGUGCCGCUACGUCGUUCGAUCCCUCCCGAAUUCAAGGUGAAGCUCCCGAGCCGGUCUUGGAGCCCUCACUGUUAGCGUCUGCGCGUGUCAACACGGUCGCCUAGGGAACUUCGCACGAACAGAUAAGGGAAGGGGACGAUGUUCUACCGGCGGG
rnacentral:lncRNA from 1 species